GAGUUUGAUCCUGGCUCAGGACGAACGCUGGCGGCGUGCUUAACACAUGCAAGUCGAACGAAGCUUGAUGAUUGAUUUCUUCGGAAAGAAAUUUGAUAUGACUGAGUGGCGGACGGGUGAGUAACGCGUGAGCAACCUGCCCUUCAGAGGGGGAUAGCGUCUGGAAACGGACGGUAAUACCGCAUAACGUACAAAGGCCGCAUGACCAUUGUACCAAAACUGAGGUGCUGAAGGAUGGGCUCGCGUUGGAUUAGAUAGUUGGUGGGGUAACGGCCUACCAAGUCGACGAUCCAUAGCCGGACUGAGAGGUUGAACGGCCACAUUGGGACUGAGACACGGCCCAGACUCCUACGGGAGGCAGCAGUGGGGAAUAUUGCACAAUGGGGGAAACCCUGAUGCAGCAACGCCGCGUGAAGGAAGACGGUUUUCGGAUUGUAAACUUCUGUUCUUAGUGAAGAUAGUGACGGUAGCUAAGGAGCAAGCCACGGCUAACUACGUGCCAGCCGCCGCGGUAAUUC
rnacentral:rRNA from 1 species